CAGUGAUCAAUCAAUGUGAUAAACCAAGUCUGAGAGAAAAUGAUCAAGGGAUCCCUGGUUCGGGUGACUCAACUAGCUGUUGAUGGCUGUAGAUAUUGUGUGUCUUCGGCUCAUUAUGGUUUUGACCUUCCACUUUUGUCAUCCUUGAUAAAAGUUUUUUUCUUUUUUAAUUUCAUAUUUUGUUAGCUCUUUAAUUAGUAAUAUAUUAUUAGUGAUGUACACAGAAUGAGAUUGUUUUCUUCUUUAAUAUAAUAGCUCACUACGCGAUACCAUUACCAAAAGUUCCUAUAACAACUCGAUCUUCCAGCUACCAUACCCUCAAGAACUUUAGAGUAUGUUGGGAAUAGUCAACUAGCCAAACAAAAACGCUAAAGUCCCUUGCAUUAUAAUUCAGAUGUUAUUAAGAGAUUUUUUUUUUUAAAUUUUCAUGACAUCUUUGAUAUAUUUUAGAAUUUCUCCCAUAUGAAAUUUUAAUUUUUUUUUAAAACAAUUGUUAGAUUCGUUGAAUAGGCAUUGUGUUUAACACUUAUUUAAAAAAAAUCCAAAUAUUAUUCUCGGUAAUGAAAAUGUGACACAUUUACAAACCCAACAACUUUGGAAAAUCAAAAUGAAGUAACGAGUAGAUAGAUAAACAGUAUCAAAGCCGAAGGACCAAAGAAGGAACCUAGCCACUUUACAAAAUGAAAAAAUGAAACUACGUGGAGUCGUAUCAUUAAGCCAAAUAUGCGACAUUAUGCAAUGAUAUUUUAGCCCCUCACAUAGUUACACAAUGGGGCGAGGUACACCAUAAACUUUCUCUAUUAGAAACACCAUAAACUUACAAACAGAAAAAAAAAAAAAAAAAAAAAAAGUUGAUGGUGGAAGAGAGUUCACGACAAAAGAGAAAUAGAGAGAGGUAAGCAAAUGGGAGAGAGAAAGAGAUAUAAACUUAUCAAGAGAAAGAGAAGAUAGGUGCAAACAUUUUAGGUAUUUAUUGAAUAAGAAAUUAGGACUAUUUUUAGAAUUAAAAUAGGGGUAUAAGAACAUUUUAAUUUUUAAAUAAUUUUAAUGGGGCAGAAAGAAGAAAAGGAAUUUCAAGAGUUAUUUGGAGGAUGUCAAUAGUCCAACUCAUGGAGGAUGUCAAUAGUCCAACUCAUGUGAUUAAAUAAAUUGGCCCACUUUCAUUAUUUUGUCACCAAUAUCUGAAAAAAAAAAUUUACAGCAAAAUUUAUUGUUCUUAAUUAGAGAUGGCCAAUGGCCAGGCAACAUGCGGCACGGUACGGACACGGUGCAUGUCGAUACAACACGGCAAGACAUGAGCAUAUUUUGGUAGGGCAUGCAGCACAACAUGACACGUAUGCAUGCUGGGCUGAGUUAAAAAUUCUAGGCACGUGAGCCUUAAAAGUACAGGAUGAUUAAAGACAACAAUUGAUAAUAUAUAUGACAAUCUCCUGAUAAAUUUGGUGUGAGUUAAGAAAGAAAUUGAUCAUCACCAGUUACAUGAGGAAAAACCAAAGAAAAAAUAAAAAAGACAACACUUCUUUGAGCAAAAGUCAUAAACAACUUUACCAUUGAGGAUGCAAGACCCUUUUUUUUUAACUUAAUGAAUUAAUUGACUAAUUUUAAUCAGUUAAGUAUUAAGUUUAUUUGUUUUUUCAACUUAAUGAAAAUUUUCAGUUAUUAAGCUAUUUUUUUAGCUUUUUACUUAAUCUAAAAAGUCUGAAUAACAUCGUUAAAAGAUAUUCUCUAAAAUAUCCUUAUCUAAUUAAUUAAUUUUUAAUCCUUACGUGAAUUAAAUUUAAUAAUUAGCAAUAUUAGCCAUCUCUAUAUAACUUGUGAUAAUAUAUAGUGGUAGAUUAUAAUUAUUUUUUUUUUUAUUUUCUUCACAUUAGCAUUAUUUAUCUUCAUAAUUUUCUAUGAAUAUUUUUCAUUUAAAAACAUCAUAAACUAUAAUAAAAUUGUUUAACAUAUAUAACAUAGAAUAUUAAAGAGUUGCAUUCAAUUGAAUAUGAUUUAUGUUAUUAUAUUUUUUGAGAUGUUUAUUAUUUGCUAACAUUUAUAAUUUAUAAGGGCAUAAAUGUAAAAAAUAUUAGUUUUUAGAUUUUUUAAGAUUAAAAAAAUUAAUAUUUAUUUUUAGCGAUUCAGACAAAAAAAGAAACAUAUCAUUCAGCUUCAGACAUUCAGUUCUAUUCACAAUUUUAACUAAUUUAGAUUUAUUCAGAUUUCAGACAAAAAAAAAAAAAAAAACUACAUGCGUCUAUAGCAAAAACAUAAGAGUCUGUAGUUCAUCCUAUUACAAAUAUUUAAGCCCAAAAUAUUUUACAUAGCACCACAAGUCUAAAUUUCCAAAAAAAAAAAAACACACGUUUCCAAUGUUCCAAAAUGGUGUGCUUACUUGACAAAACACAAUUUCAAUUUCCAAAAUGAUAGAAGAUUACAUCUCAUGAAUCACGACCAAUUUUUGAAAGGAUAUAUCCCUUUUUCCAGCUCAUUGGGCAAGUUGAAGAACCCACGUAGCACAUCAUGUUUGGUGGCCAUAAUAUCAAUCGCAUCAAAUAUUUCUUUCUCACUUAAGCCAACAAUCUUACGCAUUUUAUCAUACAACUUAACUUGUAAAUCAGAUAACUACUUAUUAGUAGUAGAAAGUACACUAAUCAACCCAUCUAAUUUGGGUACCAUGGUUGAAAUGGACUCCGUCGUUGCUCCUAUUUUUGAGCACAUAUUGUGAAAUGUUUUGUCCUUGGUUCUCCUUUCCUUUUUUGGGUGGCUGGAAUUACUUGGAGCACUUUCAUUUUUAUUAGCAGGUGCUUGUGAAUUUGAGAAUAUAGAUAUGCGAAUAGAGAUAAUAUUAACAUUCAAAACCAUUAGAUGAGAAAACAAAGAGUUACGAAGCUAAAUCUACCGAGCCCAUAACAAAUCACACAAGUAAACAAGUAAUUUUCAUUUCUUUAUAAUGGAACCUCUACUAAGUGAGGUGGGAAAAUUUAUUAACUAAAAGAAAGUGAAAAUAGUGCAAGAGAGAAGAAAGAGCAAAUGCUAGCCAUAGCUAAACCAUGAAAAGACAUAUAGGCAAGAACUAAAGAGUUACAAAGCUAAAGCUAUCGAGGCUGGACAUAAACGAAGCCCAUCACAAGUCAUGUAUAAGCAAAUAAGUUAAUAAACUAAGAAAUUAUUACAUUUAAAAUUUAAUAUAAAUAUAAAAUUAUGAUCAUUAUUAGUUUUUUUUUUUUAUUAUAUGAGACUAUUGCUCAAACUACAACUGAUAUUAUAUGAGACUAUAACUGAUAUUUACAAAUCAGACUAUUACUGGAAUCGACUUACAUCAAUGCCUACAGAGCUCUGCCCAGAUUUUAAUCAUCACUAAUAUUCGAGGGAUGUCUACCGACUUACAUCAAUGCCUACGGAGCUUUGCCUAGAUUUUAAUCCACAUUAAUAUUCGAAAGAUGUCUACUCCACUUACUCUUGGAUAAGAGAGAAUAUUACCUUCACUCAUUUAUACAAUAUAAUUAAGGAAGGAAAUACCCCCACAUUGCGCAGGGCGAGUGGCAUGAUAAUUAUUAGUUAAAUAAACUAAGAACUUAUUACAUGAAGUUCCCACUUACCAAGUAUAUCCAGGUUUCUGUUCAAUCAUCUCUAAUUAGAAAACGAAAAUAUUCCACAGUUCUUUAUUUUCUUUUGAAAAAGAAAAUCCUCGUUUUCUUGGUAUUCCUUCAAAUUAAAGUUAAAAUGAUAGAUGAGAGGCAGAUAAUGGAAGGCAAAAGACAGAAGAAAAAGGUUGGUCAUAAUGUGUUAAAACGAAAAAUAUGCUUUUGAGAACAAAUCUACUCAAAUCCCUAACUACUCUUACUCCAACUGAUGUGUGUAAGCAAAUAAUGAUGUGACCUCGAUCAUCUCAAUGACUCUGUAACAACCCUAUAAAUAUAUAUUUUUAUCUAUCCUGCUAGUUUGUACAUGGGAUCAGAACCCUCAAUCAAUGGUAGUUGGCUCAAGAUUUUAAAAGAAGCGGGGAGUUCGGAAUCCUCUCACUUCCAUAUUUUUUGUUUUUUUUUUUGGUUUAAACCACCCGAUUUCCGGCAACUGCAUUGGGCCCCGACUAAUCCGGAUUCGGGGUGUAAUCACAGUUAAGGCUCUUUACCCCUCCCAAAUGGUUUGUUUAGUGGGGAUCGAACUCGAGAACUCUUCCCACUUACCCAGCCUGCGUCGCCAACUGAGCCACAACCGUUUGGUCACUUCCAUAUUUACUUGCUUGUUUAAGAAAGAAAAUAAGAAUCCCUGUUCACAAGUAUUAUUUCAUUUUCUUAAUUUUUUAUUUCUGGUACUUACUUCAUUUUUCUCUAUUCAUUAGGUCUGGAUCCACGAAAUCUGCACCCGGUCCUUUUUUGAAGGGUGGGGUUAUAUGCACUCUAAAAUUUACUUUGGACACUCACAUUUUAAUAAUUAUUUAUAUUACUAAAUUAACCUUAAUGUAAUUUACUAUUAAGGACAAUUUUAAUAAAAUAUAGUAUAACAAAUUUUUGUCCAACAUCAUAUUUUAUUUACAAUAAACCACAUCAACUUUAUAACUGAAACAAAAGGAAUUAAAAAUAGAGGUGGAGGAAGAACAACAAAUUGCACCACUCCAACAUAAGAAAACGCAAGUAAAUCAAAGGAUUUUGUUUUAAAUUUGCUCUCCGAUUUGCAUGCUUUUAUGGGUUUGAAAAACAAUUAAAUUGCGGCAAUAAGAGAAGAACAAAUACAGGGGCGGGUGCAGUAUGUGACCAGUGGGGGUUGUAGCCCUCGCUGGCCAAAAAAAAAAUUCUAAGAAUAAAAGAAAAAAUAUUUAAGAUUUCUAAUUAGUCCCCAAUAAAUCUAUUAAAAUUGACCUUAUACAUUUAUAAAUUCACAAAAUUUAAACUUUAACUUUUAAAAUUAUAAAAGCCUACAUUAUAAUUAAAAAUAAUGAUAGGUCAUCACCACAAAUAUUUUUCUAUUCUUGAAAAUGUGUCAAGAACAAUUAUAAAUAUAUUAAUAAAUAUUUUAUAUAUUCAAAGUUUUAGUUUUAAAAUUUUACUAUUAUGUAAUCUAGGCUUCGGUAAAUUAUUUUUUUAGAUCUGCCACUGAACAAAUACAUAUCAAACCAUAUUAUGAACAGAAAAGAAAAGUGAAUAAAAAUGGAAAAAAAAGUUAGAUAUUUUGUUUGUGAUGAUGAAUAUUUCAUUUGGUAUAAAGAAGAAACAAGGUAAUUAAAGAAAUGAGGACAAUAUAAAAUUUAAAAGAGUGUUACAAAUAAAAACUAACAUUUUUGAGAUUAUUAAUUAAGCGCGCGGACUAAACGAAUGUUUAAAGUAGAUUUUAGCGUUCAAAUAGCCCUACUGUUUUUCUAAUGAUAUGUGCAUUAUUAAAUUUAAAAAAAAGUUGGAUGCAGAUCAUCAGCAUCUGAUAUUUGCCACGUAUUCGGAUCCAUUUUUUAAUUAUAAAAAAAAAAAGACAAAAAUAGAAUUUUUUAUUUUGAAACUGAGACAAAAACAGAGUCAGAGGCGUGUAAGUUUCAUAACCUUUCCUUUUUUUUUUUAAAGAAAAUCCUAAACGCAGCCUGCCGACACAACACACGAAAGCUGCUAGAGCAGAGAAGAUUAACCGCCGUCUGCCGCUGCCGUUCUAAUCAGCCAAGUCGCCACGGCUAGCACAAUGGAAAUUCAUGUACAGAAGUCAACAAUGAUACGGCCUGCCCAAGAAACGCCCAAGCAACGCCUACGAAAUUCUGACUUGGACUUGGUUGCGCCGUCCAAUUACAACCCCCUGGUAUUCUUUUAUCGACGGCCAAAUUAUUCUUCCCCUAAUUUCUUUGAUGCUGGUUUGCUGAAGGAGUCUCUGAAAAAGAUUCUUGUGCCGUUUCGACCCGUGGCUGGAAGGUUGCCGAGUGAUGAAAGUGGCAGAACCGACAUACUAUGUAACGGAGAGGGGGUUUUGUUUGUGGAGGCGGAAACAAGUUGUGUUAUUGAUGAUUUUGGUGACUUCGCCGAAGGCUCCAAGCUUUUGCCGUUGCUUCCAACUUUUGAUGAGACGAAAGAUAAUUCUUCUUAUCCAGUCAUGAUGACACAGGUACGACGAAUAUUUAAUCCCCUGAUCAAUUGAUUCAUGAGACUUGGUUUUAUUAAGUAAUGCUGUGCUGUGUGUGUUGAGUAGGUAACUCGUUUCAAAUGCGGAGGCGUUUGUCUUGCGACUAGAUUUCAUCAUAUUUUAGCAGAUGGAGCUUCAACGCACCAUUUCGUCAACUCAUGGGCUGAGAUGACACGUGGUGUUCCUAUUAGCAUUCUACCUUUCUUUGAUCGAACCGUACUAGAUUUUGGGGUUCCAAAUUCUCCUAGAUUCCAUCACAUUGAAUACGACCCACCUCCUUCAAUGAAUACUCCUACUCAAAAUUCCGAAUCCAUUUGUACCGCAAUCCUGAAUCUGUCACUUGAGCAAAUCAAGAUUCUCAAGGAAAAAUCUAAAGAAAAUCGUGGAUCCACAUUCGAGUACACUAGACUUGAGGUCCUGGCAGCACAUAUUUGGCGAUGCGUAUGUAAAGCACGUGAAUUGUCUGAUGAUCAAGCCAGCAAGUUACACUUUCCUACAAAUGGACGUUCUAAAUUGAAUCCUCCACUCCCAUCCGGGUAUUUCGGAAAUGUAGUCUUCACCACUGCAUUGAUCGCCUUAUCAGGUAAUAUCCUAUCAGAACCCCUGAAUUAUACAGUAGAGCGAAUCCAUAGAGCAUUAGAGCGGAUGAAUGACGAGUAUUUGAAAUCAGCUCUUGCUUAUCUACGUCAACAACCUGAUCCGACAGUUUUAAGAAGAGGAGCUCACACGUAUAAGUGCCCUAAUUUUAAUAUAGUAUAUUUAGCAAACAUGCCUAUUUAUGAUGCAAAUUUCGGGUGGGGGCCGCCAAUGUUUUCAAGGUUGGUUAAUACAUAUUUCGAAGGGGUAGCGCAUAUUUAUCCAAGUCCAAGCAAUGAUGGGAGCUUGACAGUGUUUAUAAACUUGGAAACCCAUCACGUGCAGCCCUUCAAGAAGUUGUUUUAUGAGAUCUUUCAGCACCCCAAGAAUGCAAGAUCUAGAUAUUGAUGUUUCAGUGAUCAAUCAAUGUGAUAAACCAAGUUUGAGAGAAAAUGAUCAAGGGAUCCCUGGUUAGAGUGAUUGAACUAGCUGUUGAUGGCUGUAGAUAUUGUGUGACUUCGGCUCAUUAUGGUUUUGACCUUCCACUUAUGUCAUCCUUGAUAAAAGUUUUUUUUUUUUUUUUCAUAUUUUGUUAGCUCUUUAAUUAGUAAUAUAUUAUUAGUGUUUUACACAGAAUGAGGUUGUUUUCUUCUUUAAUAUUAUAGCUCGCUACGUGAUGCCAUUACCAUGCAAAAGUUCUAAUAACAACUCAAUCGUCCAGCUACCGUAACCCUCAAGAACUUUAGAGUAUGUUGGGAAUAGUCAACUAGCUAAACAAAAAGGCUAACGUCCCUCCUUGCACUGUAAUUCAGAUGCUAUUAAAUUUUUCUUUUUUUAAUUUU
rnacentral:lncRNA from 1 species